GGGCUUGCUCUCCGCCGCGCUCCUCACCCGCGCUCCGUAGCUGGGUCAACUCUGCUGGUCGGGUCCGGACGACAGGCUCUGAUAGGCUUCGCCUUGGGCGGUGACCUCUUGACUGCCCGUCCCUUUAGACAGGAAGUGAGCAAAUGCUGUUGGAAGAAUGGUGCCAGUAGACUUGCCCAAUGCACGGUCGCCACAAAUCUUCAAUUUGUAGAAGUGCGGUAUCUGUGAAGCACAGUAAAGUGAAGUGCAAUAAAAUGAGUGCGCCUGAUGUUCUUAUAAGAAAAGGAAGUUUGGACACAGGUGCAGAAGGAAGGUGGUAUGAAGAUACAGUGAGAAGACAGCCAUCUGAAGUUAAAGAGAGCAGUCUCACAAGAACCCUGCCCUGCUGACAUCUUGAUCUCAGAAUUCUGGCCUCCAGAACUAUGACAUGAUUGUGUGUAGAAAUUCCUAAGGAAUCUCCAGAAUUUACGUUAGAGCUAAUGAGUGAAUUAAGAAGGCCACAGGAUGCAAGAUCCUGAAGGAAAGCACGUCUUUCUCACGGGUUCUUUUGGAGGAUUAACAGAUAAUGUGUACGGGGCCUGGCACAUCGCAGUUCGAAAAUGAUGGUGGCGCGUAGUUACCAGGAGGGGCAGUGCCUCAGGGCGGAGACUCAUCUGAGGACAUUAAGUCAGUCAUCUAAGCAAACCACUUCCUCUGUGUCGUCAAAUCCCAGCUCCAAAGGAACCCAUCCGUCCACGUUCUCAGCUUCUCCUUCACUGCCUAGUGCAGCCGGAUUGAAAUCAAGUGAUGGCGGAUUGACGCUAUGACAAAUGCUGUUCGUGAGCAUUUAGGAUUUGUGCAAGGCUGCCUGACAAAAAUCCUUCACUGAAGUGAUGACCACAACUUGCAAAAGAGGGAGCUGAGACUCAGAGAAGCUCAGUAAACUCAAGGAAACUUCACUCACGUCCAUGUGGCGUGAAACCCCGUUCUCAUCUCCUCUAACAUGCCUUUGUGACACCUCUGCAAGAUGUAGA